UGGGGAAUUGUUCACAAUGGGCGCAAGCCUGAUGACGCAACGCCGCGUGGGGGAUGAAGGUCUUCGGAUCGUAAACCCCUGUCGAAUGGGACGAAAGACUCGCGAGUGAAUACUUCGCGAGAGUGACGGUACCGUUAAAGGAAGCCACGGCUAACUCUGUGCCAGCAGCCGCGGUAAUACAGAGGUGGCAAGCGUUGUUCGGAAUCACUGGGCGUAAAGGGCGCGUAGGCGGCCCUCUAAGUCAGACGUGAAAUCCCCCGGCUUAACCUGGGAACUGCGUCUGAUACUGGAGGGCUUGAGUAUGGGAGAGGGAUGUAGAAUUCCAGGUGUAGCGGUGAAAUGCGUAGAUAUCUGGAGGAAUACCGGUGGCGAAGGCGGCAUCCUGGACCAUUACUGACGCUGAGGCGCGAAAGCUAGGGGAGCAAACGGGAUUAGAUACCCCAGUAGUCCCUGAGCGGGCUGGCAAGGCGCAU
rnacentral:rRNA from 1 species